rnacentral:rRNA from 1 species
UACGUAGGGGGCAAGCGUUGUCCGGAAUCAUUGGGCGUAAAGAGCGUGUAGGCGGUUUGUCGCGUCUGCUGUGAAAUUUCGGGGCUCAACCCCGAACUUGCAGUGGGUACGGGCAGACUAGAGUGUGGUAGGGGAGACUGGAAUUCCUGGUGUAGCGGUGAAAUGCGCAGAUAUCAGGAGGAACACCGAUGGCGAAGGCAGGUCUCUGGGCCAUAACUGACGCUGAGACGCGAAAGCGUGGGGAGCGAACAGG